rnacentral:rRNA from 1 species
AUGAACGCUAGCUACAGGCUUAACACAUGCAAGUCGAGGGGCAGCAUCAUCAAAGCUUGCUUUGAUGGAUGGCGACCGGCGCACGGGUGAGUAACACGUAUCCAACCUGCCGACAACACUGGGAUAGCCUUUCGAAAGAAAGAUUAAUACCGGAUGGCAUAAUUAUUCCGCAUGGGAUAAUUAUUAAAGAAUUUCGGUUGUCGAUGGGGAUGCGUUCCAUUAGGCAGUUGGCGGGGUAACGGCCCACCAAACCUACGAUGGAUAGGGGUUCUGAGAGGAAGGUCCCCCACAUUGGAACUGAGACACGGUCCAAACUCCUACGGGAGGCAGCAGUGAGGAAUAUUGGUCAAUGGACGAGAGUCUGAACCAGCCAAGUAGCGUGAAGGAUGACUGCCCUAUGGGUUGUAAACUUCUUUUAUACGGGAAUAAAGUGAGCCACGUGUGGCUUUUUGUAUGUACCGUAUGAAUAAGGAUCGGCUAACUCCGUGCCAGCAGCCGCGGUAAUACGGAGGAUUCGAGCGUUAUCCGGAUUUAUUGGGUUUAAAGGGAGCGUAGGCGGGUUGUUAAGUCAGUUGUGAAAGUUUGCGGCUCAACCGUAAAAUUGCAGUUGAUACUGGCGACCUUGAGUGCAACAGAGGUAGGCGGAAUUCGUGGUGUAGCGGUGAAAUGCUUAGAUAUCACGAAGAACUCCGAUUGCGAAGGCAGCUUACUGGAUUGUAACUGACGCUGAUGCUCGAAAGUGUGGGUAUCAAACAGGAUUAGAUACCCUGGUAGUCCACACAGUAAACGAUGAAUACUCGCUGUUGGCGAUAUACAGUCAGCGGCCAAGCGAAAGCAUUAAGUAUUCCACCUGGGGAGUACGCCGGCAACGGUGAAACUCAAAGGAAUUGACGGGGGCCCGCACAAGCGGAGGAACAUGUGGUUUAAUUCGAUGAUACGCGAGGAACCUUACCCGGGUUUGAACGUAGUCAGACCGACCUUGAAAGAGGUCUUCUAGCAAUAGCUGAUUACGAGGUGCUGCAUGGUUGUCGUCAGCUCGUGUCGUGAGAUGUUGGGUUAAGUCCCGCAACGAGCGCAACCCUUACGGGUAGUUACCAUCAGGUUAUGCUGGGGACUCUACCCGGACUGCCGUCGUAAGAUGUGAGGAAGGUGGGGAUGACGUCAAAUCAGCACGGCCCUUACGUCCGGGGCUACACACGUGUUACAAUGGGGGGUACAGAAGGCAGCUACACGGCGACGUGGUGCUAAUCCCAAAAGCCUCUCUCAGUUCGGAUUGGAGUCUGCAACCCGACUCCAUGAAGCUGGAUUCGCUAGUAAUCGCGCAUCAGCCACGGCGCGGUGAAUACGUUCCCGGGCCUUGUACACACCGCCCGUCAAGCCAUGAAAGCCGGGGGUACCUGAAGUACGUAACCGCGAGGAGCGUCCUAGGGUAAAACUGGUGAUUGGGGCU